rnacentral:rRNA from 1 species
AACGAACGCCGGCGGCAGGCCUAACACAUGCAAGUCGAACGCCCUGGCAACAGGGAGUGGCAGACGGGUGAGUAACGCGUGGGAACGUGCCCUUCGGUUCGGAAUAACUCAGGGAAACUUGAGCUAAUACCGAAUACGUGCGAGAGCAGAAAGAUUUAUCGCCGAAGGAUCGGCCCGCGUCCGAUUAGCUAGUUGGUGAGGUAAUGGCUCACCAAGGCGACGAUCGGUAGCUGGUCUGAGAGGAUGAUCAGCCACACUGGGACUGAGACACGGCCCAGACUCCUACGGGAGGCAGCAGUGGGGAAUAUUGGACAAUGGGCGCAAGCCUGAUCCAGCCAUGCCGCGUGAGUGAUGAAGGCCCUAGGGUUGUAAGGCUCUUUCGCCAGGGACGAUAAUGACGGUACCUGGAUAAGAAGCCCCGGCUAACUUCGUGCCAGCAGCCGCAGUAA